rnacentral:lncRNA from 1 species
CCCAUUGAGGCAAAUGAGUAAGGAGAAAGGGGCAGCUGUAAGCAGGAGGCUGUGUCCUACCAGUUCCAAGGUGAGAGGAAAAUUGUCCCAGAGCUUGGGUUGGCCAGGCUAACAGUCAAAGCCAGGAAUGGCUCAGGUGAUGAUAUGUACAGAUCUUUCUUCUACUCUCUGCAGUGGAACUUCGACUGUUGAGAACUGACCAGCCUCCUCUGCCCUACCCACUCUGACACACACACACAUGCCCUGAGGCGUGGGACCUCCAGCUUGCAGUGGGAAGACAGAGAGCGGUUACGUUUGUUUGACAUAACUACAAAGGACUGAGCCUCUUCCCAGCAGAGCAAGUUCCAUUCUUGGAAGCUUUUGCUUCUUAAUUGAUGAGAUCUGCAUCUUGCACUAGGACAAAAUGAAGGGUUGGUAGUCCUACACUUCUGGCUCCCACAGGUGUGGAUGGUGGCAAAGGUGCCCCGAAGGCAAGGCUGAUAAUUGCUGUGACCACAUCUGAGUUGGAAUUACUUCUGACCAAAUAUAGGAGCAAAAGUGCCUCCAAACACAGGCAUUUUCUUAGUAGUGCUGCCCCCCGAAAGUCAAAGGGGGUACCAUGGCUGGAUGACCAGGUAUUCUGACUGCAGGAAAAAGUAGAAACGUCCCCUUAAAAAUUUUGGCGUUGUCCCUCUGACUGUAAGAGUCACACUUUGACGAUGAGCACCCCAGGAGCUCAGAAUGAUGGUGGGAAGGCCCCAAGCACAAGUUUGGUGAUGCCCUCCUCCAUCCAUCAUAUCACACAGGCCCCAGGUGCUGUGACUGUAGGCAGGAACACAAGGGGCUGCAAGCACAGUUGUGGCACUGGCUCUACAACUUCUAAAGAUGAACUCUGGCCGGUGUGCCCAGGUGCUCUGAUUGUAGACAUGAAGAGAAAUACCUCCAAGCAUACAAAUGGUGCUCAUCCCUCCCACUGCAGCACACAUGCUGUGGCCAGGGGGACCCCAGGAGCUCCAGCAGAAGGCAGGAAGAAGAUUUCCCAACACAGUUAUGGUGCUCAGUUCCUCUGACUGCAACAGAUAUGCUCUGGUACGCAGGAUCCCAGCUGAUCUGACCACUCGGAGGAAAAAAGUGUGACCUGGCACUCAUUUCUUCUCAGUGGUGCUGACUCCUUCAGUAGUCACGGAUGUGCCUUCACCCAGCUGGCUCCAAGUGCUCUGACUAUGAGGCAGAAAGGAAAGUGUCUUCCAGGACAGAUUUGCUGUACAAGUGAGCUCUCCAAUUGCAAGUGAAGUGCCAUAGUCAGCAGGACCCUGGUGCUCAGGUCUAAGUGUCCCCAACUUAGCGGACCAGUGUCUGCUUGGUCCUGCAUCAAAGUUGAGUCCUCCAGAAUGGAGCUGGGGCCUGGGCAGCCACAGUCACCCAAAGCUGCUGCCAUCCAUAAGGGCUGCAGAACCCACAACACAAAUGGGUCUGCAGUGGUGUUAGCAAACAAUGAGCUACUGUCCCCAGUGGUAGUUGCUCUUAAGACAGAAGUAGCGGCUGUGCCACUGGGAAAAAUGCCUGGGUGUCUCCGAAGUCUAGCUGGGUGCUGACAGGGAUGCCAAAGGUGGAAAAUGGGGAUGUUAACCCACAAAGCUCAUUGAAUUGUGCUGCCAUUGAGUGGCUGGGCUGUGGCAAAGCUCAAAUUGUAGCUUGUGCUAGAGCUGGCUGGCUUCCAAAAGGGAGAGAGCUGCCAUUGGGUGGCUCCAGGCUGCAGCCCAUCAGGAGCCCUAAAUGUGGGCCAAGGGAUGGUGGUGGUUCCCAGGUCAAAGGGAGUUUGAAAGUUGCGUUUGGGCUGCUGACUGUGCAGGCAGGCUGGUGGAAACUGGGUCUGAGGCAAUGCUGCCACAGGGAGACAUCUUCUCAGAACGAGGAAGUGCCAUGGAAAAUAAAAAGAAGUUCUCCCUAAAGCCUGGGUGAGACCUGGAGAUAAGAGCCUGGGAAGAGAAAGUGGCGUCCUUGUCAGUGAUACCAAAGUCCAAAGCAGGCUGGCGUGCUGGUUGUGAUGGUAGACGGACUAUAUGAAAAAGAUAGAAGAAUCCACAAACAUAGGUUUUGGUGACUCCAUUCUGUAGGAGGCAAGUGUGACAGAGAGGACUGAGGUGAUAGGAGAUACGGGGAGGUUAAAAUAGAAGAUGCUGCAGCUAUGACUGAGGGAUGGGAAUGCAAGGGCCUCUGUUCUCAUUACUAAAUGGAACCCCAAAAGUGAGCUUGACUCUAUAGGGAGAAAGAGAGUCAACAUGAACAGCAAAAGAAGGAGAACAAGAAAUUGCACGUCUUGUUUCAUAAUAAAGGUCAGCCAAGUCAGUGACUGGUAAUGUUUUAGUAACACAGGUCUGCAAGGGGAAAGUGGCUGAGGCAGUGCAGUCUGACAUGGCCUGUGUCAUCCCCCAAGACCUUAUUAAGCCACUAUGGCUCAACUACCUUCUCCAAGCCCAGGUCUUCAGCAAUGGCUGUACAAGGAAGCUGAGGAUGUCAGAGCAGCUCACCUCCACCCUACGACAGUGGCAGUGGCACAGCGACUUUUGCAGGGAGGGCCCAAAACUGGCAGAUGUGGUGGUGAAGUCCUCCUUGACAGGUCUAAAAGCUUUUCUCCCUCUGUCUUCCUGGACAUCAGUGAGGUGGAGAACUGAGCUGAUGGCCUUCAUCAAGCACCGCCUUUGUCAACCUCUGGAGAAGCAGGAGCAGGAUGAAGUUGGACCAGAAAGGCUUGCUGCACCUGGAUCAGUCCUCUAAAGGGACAAGACACCUCCAGCAGGACCCAUGAGCUGGGAGUGGCAUGGCCUUUGGUGAAGGAGCUCAUAGAGAACAUAAGGUUUUUCUUACUCAAACUAUCUUCCGGGGCUUAGAUUGGAGGGUUCCCUUCAGAAGCCCAGGACUACACCUCAACGAAGUGACACUCCAGCGGCCUCCCAAGACCUAGAUGCUGACACUGUAUGGGGUCGCUUCUCUGAACGUCCUGCCUUCCGUCACUAGUUGAUCAUCCUUCUCUGUGCCUUUCCUGCAUUCUCCUAGGGCUCAGUUUCCUUCAGGCAAGGAUCCGGGGGAUGACAGGAUGCCUCUCGCCUCAUAAAGGCGACCAACUGCUCAGGUAGCCGACAGAGGAGGAUCCAUUUGUUUCUGGAGAAGGGAUAUUUACCGUUCUUGGGCGACCCUUACUGACGAACAGCCUGGAGGUUCGAGCAGCCAGCACCAGCAUCUUCAGAGCCAACAAGGAGCCCCCAGACGGGCACUGAGCCUGCGGGACGGCGCUGUAACACCGAGCGGGUGGCAGCACGCCCUCGCGGCGGGCCAGCCUGGGAACAUGGCGGAGCAGAGGUGCGGCCACCGGGCGGGGAUCAACGGCGGGCGGGGAUCAACGGCUGGCGGGAAUCAACGGCGGGCGGGGAUCAACGGCUGGCGGGAAUCAACGGCGGGCGGGGCGAGGAUC